rnacentral:rRNA from 1 species
UACGGGGGGGGCAAGCGUUGUUCGGAAUUACUGGGCGUAAAGGGCUCGUAGGCGGCCAACUAAGUCAGACGUGAAAUCCCUCGGCUUAACCGGGGAACUGCGUCUGAUACUGGAUGGCUUGAAUCCGGGAGAGGGAUGCGGAAUUCCAGGUGUAGCGGUGAAAUGCGUAGAUAUCUGGAGGAACACCGGUGGCGAAGGCGGCAUCCUGGACCGGCAUUGACGCUGAGGAGCGAAAGCCAGGGGAGCAAAGCGGG